rnacentral:rRNA from 1 species
CAUCACUACGCUAGAUGCAUAUCAAUAAGCGGAGGAAAAGAAACUAACAAGGAUUCCCUUAGUAACGGCGAGUGAAGCGGGAAGAGCUCAAAUUUGAAAUCUUAAAGGUUUUCCCUUGACGAAUUGUAGUUUAAAGAAGUGUUUUCUGUUGGAGUUUCGGUAAAAGUUCUUUGGAAUAGGACAUCAUAGAGGGUGAGAAUCCCGUAUUUGACCAUUACUUUCCAGCUGUGUGAUACACUUUCAAAGAGUCGGAUUGUUUGGGAAUGCAGUCCAAAAUGGGUGGUAAAUUUCAUCUAAAGCUAAAUAUUGGCGAGAGACCGAUAGCGAACAAGUACCGUGAGGGAAAGAUGAAAAGAACUUUGAAAAGAGAGUUAAACAGUACGUGAAAUUGUCAAAAGGGAAGCGUUUGACACCAGUGUUGUUUAGUUCGAAAAUCAAUUCAAGAAUGUUUUAUUUUGAAGUAGUAUUGACUUUAUCAGCUUGCUGCUUUCUUUUCAGGAAUUAUUGAAUGCACUUUUCAGUUAACAAGUCAACAUCAAUUUCUUUUGUUGUAAAAGAGUAAGAGGAAGGUGGCUUACGCUUCGGCGUAAGUGUUUAUAGCCUUUUACCUCUGCAAUCGGAGAGAUUGAGGACAGCAGCGUAGACUCUUCGGGGUUAGAUACACUUGUGCUAAGCUAUAGCCUUGUAUAGACAACUUGUUGACUAUGCUCAGUCAUGUAGCUUACUCGCUUGUGCUAUUUUACCUACGCUUAGGAUGUUGAAGAUAUGCGCGACACG